CAAAAACAUAGCUAUAAGCUUGUUUAUAGUGCUUUCUGCACAAUGUUAUUAUAAAUUGCCGCAGUACCCUGACUGUGCUAAGGUAGCAUAAUCAUUUGGCUUAUAAUUGAAGUCUAGUAUGAACGAAGUUAUGGGGGUAGGCUGUUUCAAACAAGUAGUUCUAAUUUGCCUGGGGGGUGAAAAUGCCCUCGCAUAGAUAAAAGACGAGAAGACCCUUGAAAUUUUGAGCACACUAGUUCAGGUAUUGUAUUUUUGUUGGGGCGACAAAGUAGCAUACAACCUACUGAUUUGCAUGGGCAACGUUUAGGUGGAAAAAUUAAAUUACUCUAGGGAUAACAGCAUAAUAUUUUGAAGUUUGUGACCUCGAUGUUGGACUAGGAAAAUAUAGUUUAGAAGACGACUAAGUUGCUCUGUUCGAACC
rnacentral:rRNA from 1 species